rnacentral:rRNA from 1 species
GUUUCCUACGGGACGCAGCAGUGGGGAAUAUUGCACAAUGGGGGAAACCCUGAUGCAGCGACGCCGCGUGAGCGAAGAAGUAUUUCGGUAUGUAAAGCUCUAUCAGCAGGGAAGAAAAAUGACGGUACCUGAGUAAGAAGCACCGGCUAAAUACGUGCCAGCAGCCGCGGUAAUACGUAGGGAGCAAGCGUUAUCCGGAUUUACUGGGUGUAAAGGGCGUGUAGGCGGGCAUGCAAGCCAGAAGUGAAAUCUGGGGGCUUAACCCCCAAACUGCUUUUGGAACUGCGUGUCUUGAGUGAUGGAGA